rnacentral:rRNA from 1 species
UACGGGGGGGGCAAGCGUUGUUCGGAAUUACUGGGCGUAAAGGGCUCGUAGGUGGUCAACUAAGUCGGACGUGAAAUCCCUCGGCUUAACCGGGGAACUGCGUCCGAUACUGGAUGACUUGAGUUCGGGAGAGGGAUGCGGAAUUCCAGGUGUAGCGGUGAAAUGCGUAGAUAUCUGGAGGAACACCGGUGGCGAAGGCGGCAUCCUGGACCGACACUGACGCUGAGGAGCGAAAGCCAGGGGAGCAAACAGG